rnacentral:snRNA from 11 species
GUCCACAGUCACGACGGGAGACACACUCCAACUGGAUAUCGGCGGUGGUGUGUUGGUCACGAUCGAGUUGAAGUCUAGGCACGAGGAAGACAGACA